UUUCCGUAGGUGAACCUGCGGAAGGAUCAUUAGAAUAAUGGGAAGAUAAUUUUUUUUAUCUUCCUAAUAAAUUACCUUAUUCAAAAAUUUUCAAUCUUUAUAAUAAAAAAAUUUAAAAAGAAAUUUAUGAUAACUUUCAACAACGGAUCUCUUGGCUCUU
rnacentral:misc_RNA from 1 species